UACGAAGGGGGCUAGCGUUGUUCGGAAUUACUGGGCGUAAAGCGCGCGCAGGCGGCCUUGCAAGUCAGUGGUGAAAUCCCAGAGCUUAACUCCGGAAUUGCCUUUGAAACUGUGAGACUUGAGUACGAGAGAGGUGAGUGGAAUUCCCAGUGUAGAGGUGAAAUUCGUAGAUAUUGGGAAGAACACCGGUGGCGAAGGCGGCUCACUGGCUCGUAACUGACGCUCAGGCGCGACAGCGUGGGGAUCAAACAGG
rnacentral:rRNA from 1 species